rnacentral:rRNA from 1 species
GAUGAACGCUGGCGGCGUGCCUAAUACAUGCCAGUCGAGCGAACAGACGAGGAGCUUGCUCCUCUGACGUUAGCGGCGGACGGGUGAGUAACACGUGGAUAACCUACCUAUAAGACUGGGAUAACUUCGGGAAACCGGAGCUAAUACCGGAUAAUAUAUUGAACCGCAUGGUUCAAUAGUGAAAGACGGUUUUGCUGUCACUUAUAGAUGGAUCCGCGCCGCAUUAGCUAGUUGGUAAGGUAACGGCUUACCAAGGCAACGAUGCGUAGCCGACCUGAGAGGGUGAUCGGCCACACUAGAACUUAAACACGGUCCAGACUCCUACGGGAGGCAGCAGUAGGCAAUCUUCCGCAGUGGGCGAGAGCUUGACGGAGCAACGCCGCGUGAGUGAUGAAGGUCUUCGGAUCGUAAAACUCUGUUAUUAGGGAAGAACAAAUGUGUAAGUAACUAUGCACGUCUUGACGGUACCUAAUCAGAAAGCCACGGCUAACUACGUG